CCCAAGUGCUGGGAUUACAGGUGUGCGCCACCACGCCUGGCAAGUCUUUCUUUCUUUCAAUUGCUCUCUCAGAUACUCUGCUUACAGGUUCAUGAAAAUAACCAACUUAAUGGAUACUUAUGGAGGAAGUCAAAAGUUCAGAAUCUGAUGAGAUAAUGAUUGACUUCACUAGUGAGGUAACGACUGUGCCCAUGAGGUAAUGACUGUGCCCAUGAGGUAAUGACUGUGCCCAUGAGGUAAUGACUGUGCCCAUGAGGUAAUGACUGUGUUCAUGACAUAAUGGCUGUCUGUUCUUAUGAGGUAAUGACUGUGCCCAUGAGGUAAUGACUGUGCCCAUGAGGUAAUGACUGUGCCCAUGAGGUAAUGACUGUGUUCAUGACAUAAUGGCUGUCUGUUCUUAUGAGGUAAUGACUGUGCCCAUGAGGUAAUGACUGUGCCCAUGAGGUAAUGACUAUGUUCAUGACAUAAUGUCUGUGCUUAUGAGGUAAAGACUGUGCCCAUGGGGUAAUGAUUGUGUUCAUGAGGUAACGACUGUGCCCAUGAGGUAAUGACUGUGCCCAUGAGGUAAUGACUGUGCCCAUGAGGUAAUGACUGUGCCCAUGAGGUAAUGACUGUGCCCAUGAGGUAAUGACUGUGCCCAUGAGGUAAUGACUAUGUUCAUGACAUAAUGUCUGUGCUUAUGAGGUAAAGACUGUGCCCAUGGGGUAAUGAUUGUGUUCAUGAGGUAACGACUGUGCCCAUGAGGUAAUGACUGUGCCCAUGAGGUAAUGACUGUGUUCAUGACAUAAUGUCUGUGCUUAUGAGGUAAUGACUGUGCCCAUGAGGUAAUGACUGUGUUCAUGACAUAAUGUCUGUGCUUAUGAGGUAAUGACUGUGCCCAUGAGGUAAUGACUGUGCCCAUGAGGUAAUGACUAUGUUCAUGACAUAAUGUCUGUGCUUAUGAGGUAAAGACUGUGCCCAUGGGGUAAUGAUUGUGUUCAUGAGGUAACGACUGUGCCCAUGAGGUAAUGACUGUGCCCAUGAGGUAAUGACUGUGUUCAUGACAUAAUGUCUGUGCUUAUGAGGUAAUGACUGUGCCCAUGAGGUAAUGACUGUGUUCAUGACAUAAUGUCUGUGCUUAUGAGGUAAUGACUGUGCCCAUGAGGUAAUGACUGUGUUCAUGACAUAAUGUCUGUGCUCAUGAGGUAAUGACUGUGCCCAUAAGGUAAUGACUGUGUUCAUGACAUAAUGUCUGUGCUUAUGAGGUAAUGACUGUGCCCAUGAGGUAAUGACUGUGUCCAUGGGGUAAUGAUUGUGUUCAUGAGGUAACGACUGUGCUUAUGAGGUAAUGACUGUGCCCAUGGGGUAAUGACUAUAUCCAUGAGGUAACAUCUGUGCUCAUGAGUCUUAGAUGGGAAAAAGUACUGUGCUGAUGACGUGGCACAGCAGCCUGCUUCUGCGCUUUCUCACAGAACUUACCCUCCCCCCUGCUCCUUCCCGUAGCAAACAUGGAGCUCCCCUCCCCUCCUUGGCCAUUCAGAGAGGACUUGAUCUGGUACCAGAGUAUUGCUAGCUAUGUUUUCAUAGAGGCACCCCCUAAUGAGCCUGCCCCCCAUCCCUAGGGAGCAACAGAUGCUAUCUUGAGAAUACACAAACUGCUACUUGGGGGGGAGGGGCAUGUCGCCUAGGCCGGCACUCUCACUGAUAAAUGGCUAAGCAUUUCCCAGUGCAGCUGGCACCUGUUCAUGGGAAAAA